rnacentral:lncRNA from 1 species
AGAGAGAGCGAGAGGAGGAGGAUGAGAGGAAGAGGAGGAGAGCACUGAAGACGUCUGCUUACAAAUUUAUGUGACCCAUGGUCUUCACAAAUGGUUGGAUACAGACAUUGAUAAUGAAUUUCACACAAGAGAAGUCUGUAUGAGUGGACUUUGUGGAUUGUGAGUCAAUCACUUGUAUUUCUCAUCCUGCAUGUGAUGUUUUAUACUGUAUGUAUACACUCUGGGAUACACUUCAUGUGGGUAUUUAUUAUUGUUAUGAUAUUCUUAUUUCACUAGAUCCAUGACGGGACUUGAUAUGGUCAUAUACAGUGCGUUCAGAAAUGAUUUAAACCCCUAGACUUUUUCCAC